rnacentral:misc_RNA from 1 species
GAUGAAGAACGUAGCGAAAUGCGAUACUUGGGGUGAAUUGCAGAAUCCCGUGAACCAUCGAGUCUUUGAACGCAAGUUGCGCCCGAAGCCACUAGGCCGAGGGCACGCCUGCCUGGGCGUCACACGCCGUUGCCCCCCCAUCUACUCCUUCGGGAUUGCGGGGGGGCGGAUGAUGGCCUCCCGUGCGCCUAGCCGCGCGGUUGGCAUAAAUACCAAGUCCUCGGCGACGCACGCCACGACAAUCGGUGGUUGCGAAACCUCGGUUGCCCGUCGUGUGCGUUCGUCGCGCAUCGAGGGCUCGAAAAAAUGCUCGGCUCCGGCUGGGCUUUCAACGCGACCCCAGGUCAGGCGGGGUUACCCGCUGAAUUUAAGCAUAUCAAUAAGCGGAGGA